GUCUGAGGCCAAUUCCAAAUAUCAUUCCACAUCCAUAUCCUAUAACCACUGGUUCCCAUCCAAAUCCAAAUCUCUCUUCUCCCAAUAAGCUCGGAGAAGAUGGAGGUUUUUGUUCAGUGUUGUUGCAACUCAUUGACAAUGGGAACCCACAUAAUCCCGAGUUUCCUAGGUAGGAGUCAUUUGAAAAAGUCGCAAACUGUUUUCCUUGAGGUAUUUCUCCCACAAGCUGGUUAUUGGAAAGAUUCAGGACUUCAAGAUAGUUCAGAUUGGUUAAUUCUGUUGGAAUCCUACCAGUAAACAUAUUUGAGGAGAGAUCCAUUGAUUCUAAAUUUGUCAAAUAUCCAAUGGAUUUGGGAAUAAGACCACUUAAUCUGUUAUGGGAAAAAUUGAGUCCUCUAAGAGCAUGAAGCUCUCCAAUUACAUAUGGAAUUUGUCCUUGAAAUUUGUUUUGGGAUAAAUCAAUGGUUACAAAGUUUUUCGGAAUUUGUUUCAAUGUCAUACUUAUCGCUUUUGUUGUUACAGUUACAUAUCCAAUUGUACCUCUUUGGGACCCAUUAUAUGGCAUAUAUGUAAUGCCAAUGUAUAGCUCAUCCCCUUCAUAUGAAAUGACAUUCUUCAUGGCUUUAAAAUUUUGUAUAUAGGUUUUUGGUAUUGGACCAUUGAAAUAGUUGGAUGAGAUAUCAAAAAUAACUAUACUUGAAAAUUCAUACUGCGUCUCUAAAUCGUCAAUGGGACCGUACAAUUUGUUGGAUCGCAAAACCAAUACUGUCAACAUUGGUAGAGUUUGAAGCCAAUGGGGAAAUUUAUCCUCAAUUUGAUUGUUGCCAAGAUUCAAGAUCUCCAACUGUGUGCAAUUGGACAAAGAUUUUGGCAAAGGACCUUCCAAUUGGUUGUCAUUAACAUUAAAAUAAGCGAGCUCACUAUUCAUUGAGAAGUUAUUUGGUAAAGUGCCAUUUAGUUUGUUCCUCUGUAGAUCCAAAAUAUAAAGGCCCCACAAGUUUGCAAGGCAUGGUGGAAUGACGCCUGUCAACUUAUUGUGGGACAAGAUGAGAACUUGAAGAUUACUUGCAUUACAAAUUGAGGAAGACAUGUCACCAGUGAGUAAAUUGAAACUAAUAUCAAGGAUAUUGAGGUUGUAGUUCCUUGAGAAUUGGUUUAUUGGAGUUGUCAACAAGUUGUGGGAUAGGCUCAAAAAUUGUAAUGAACCCAUUUCAUGUAACCACUUGGGCAUUGUUCCAUUCAAUUUGUUGUUGGAUAGAUCAAGCUCUAUCAAAAUUGGGAUUUUUCCUAGUAAUUUUGGAAAUUCAGUUAAACCCACAGAAGAUAAAUACAAUCUCUCUAAGAGAGGAGCAUUGGUGAAAAUUGUAUAGUUAUGAAGACCAUUGAAGUUGUUUGAUGAUAGACAUAAGUGAGUUAGGUUUACAAGGGUGAAGACUGAUUGUGGAAUAUUGCCAUGUAGCUUGUUGUAGCACAAAUAUAGAGACUUCAAGGAUUGAGAUGAGAUUGAAGGUAUAUGGCCUGUGAACUGAUUCUCUGAUAGAUCCAAUUCUUGCAAAAAUGGCAAAGAUAAACACCAAGUAGGAAUUGUCCCAUUUAGUAAGUUGUCUGUGAAGAAUAAAAAAGUUAGAUUUGAAAGCCCUGUUAUUUUGUUUGGUAGAGGGCCCUCCAAUCUAUUCUCUGAAAGAUCCAAGUGAAGAAGAUGUUGAAGAUUUGAAAGUGAGGAUGGAAUUUGGCCACUGAAUCGAUUGUAUCCAAGAUCCAAAAAUGUAAGAUGUGGAAGGGUUAAGAUUGAGGAUGGGAUUGAACCCUUGAGAUAGUUACUUGAGAGAUCGAGGAACGUAAUAUGUGUGAAGUUGGAGAAAGAGGCAGGGAUUGUCCCCUCCAACAUGUUCCUUGAAAGAUCCAACAUAGUGAGAGAAGCAGCACUGCAACUCAAGUUAGGAAACUGCUCAAGACUAUUAUCUGACAACCAUAAGUGUUUAAGUUUUGGUAAACAUAAGAUGUCAGUUUUCAAGUUUUCCUGAACUCCGGUGUAUUUAAGACUAAGAUUAACCAAAGAGGUAGAUAGAUUGAGUGACCUCAUCGAACUAAAAGUCAUAUUUACACCAUCCAAAAUAAGCUCCGCUAAAACUGUUGCAUUUUGAAGGAACUUCUUCCAACUGUUUUCUUUCCACAUUAACCUAGUAAAAGAGAGAUCAAGUGAUUCCAAUUUGGAAAGUUGUGAGAUUUGGGAGGGAAUUUCACUUCGAAAUUCAUAGUUAGAUAUAUUGAGGUGUGUGAGGUUCACAUACCCAACAGAAGGAAAUGAUAAUUGAGAGGAGUAAAAGUAAUUGAAAGUAAGAUUAAGUGAUUGAAGAUGAGAAAGACGGAAAAGAGAAGUGUUUGGAUGGAUUUCACCUGAAAGACGAUUGCAAGCGAGGUCAAGGCCUAUGACGUGACCAGAGAUGGGAUGGCAAAGAACCCCAGACCAUGAACAACAAUCUGUUCCAUUUUCCCAGGUUGACAUCUUUGGAACAAAAUUAUCACAAUCAGAAUAAUAAUAGUCAUGAACAUAAGCAAGAGAGUUCUUGAAUUGGAGCAACGCAAUUUUGUCGUGAAGAUGACAUAAGGAAUGAGAGAAUGAGAAGAGAAAGAGAAACCAAUGGGAACAUAAAAGAAGAAACCAACCCACCCAUGACUCCAUUUGAAAGUGUAUUUAAUGAAAAGUGUUAAGUGUGAUUUAAUUAAAGGAAUGAAAGAUGAAGAUUUAUAGCCAAAAUAAAAUAGGAUAUGAAGAUGAACACGGCAUCACUCAGCUUAUAAUAUUUUCAUUAAUGUUUCAAUUUCCAAAUUGCCUUGAAAGACGGGGCAUAUGGGUUGAUUUUCAUCUUCAAAUAAUGUAUUAUACUUUUCCACCAAAAUGGAAUUGACUUUAAGUCAAUGCCCCAAAAAUUGGGACUUGGGUUUACUAUUCUUCGUGUUUCGUGUUUCUUGGGUUUAACGGUAAAAAGUGGAAUUAAGUAAAUAUUGUAUUCUUCCUUACAAUCUUUAUCGUGAACAAAAUGCUAUUAUUUUUAUCUUUUAGAUACAUUUUCUAUUUCUUUUUGUAGCAUUUUUUAAUUUUUUUCAUAUUUUUUUCAUCUGCUAACCAUAUAAAGAAUACCAUUUUAAAACAAAAUUAAAGAUAUUGAUUUUAUUUUAUUUUCUUAGUAUAGUUUUCUAGGUUAUAAUGUGUAUUUUAGUUGAGUGUGUAGACUCAAACGCUUUAAUUUUAAUUCAUACAUCACAAUGAAUUUUUAAUGAGACCUUUAAUUAGUUAGCCUUUUGUGUUAAUGGUUUCAUUUAUCUGAAAAUUUAAAAAAUGAAUUAGUUAAAAAUAACACUACAUAUUAAAGAACUUUUACUUGGAGAGUUGAAAUUGAUGGUAUGAUAGAUAGAAAAAUAAACACUACAUUAGAAAACUUAUAUUUAAAAAUAUACAACAACUUUUAAUUUAACCAAUAGUGACAAUUUAAUUCAAUAUUUUUUAGUGCUUAUGAUCUAUCUUUUAUCUUUCUAUUCAAGAAUUUCAAGUUUCAGACUGAAUUGCAGGUAAAUGUUUAGUAUCUUUGGAAGGCUGAAAUAAAUGUUAAGAGUUAAAGUACUAACUAUUUUUUAAAAUAGCUUGUGAUUCUUAUAAUUUUUUUUUAUAAAUUUGAUGAUUAUGAAUUUUUUAAUAUAGGUUUAUUUUAUUUUAAAUAUAUAAGUAAUGUAUUUAUAUUAAAAUUUUGUGGUGAUAUUUAUAUUAACAUGUUUUUGUUAGUUUAAGACUAAAAUAAAUGUAAGAGUUUUGGUCUUCUUACCAACUAAAAAAGUAUGAAUAAACGUACUAACAAUUUUUUAUUUCUUUCAUGAUUUCGGAAUUGGAUGGUUUUUUUUUUAAUAUAUGUUUAUUUUGUUUUUAAAAAUAUUUCAAUAAUGUAUAUACAUUAUUGUUGUCUUUAUUAAGACUUUUGUGGAUGAUAUUAAUUUGUUGUUGUGAGUUUGAAACUAAAGAAUAUAUAAAUAUCUUUCAAUAUUGUUUGUGAUUAAAACUCAUACAAAACAAAUAAAAUUUUGUAUAAAUUUAUGUAAAUGUAUACAUAAUUAGUAAUCAUUAAACUCAUUCAAAAAGUCUACUGAUACAUUCACAUUGUAGACAAUAUAAACCUUCAAACAUACAUGCUAAUAUCAUUAUAACAUAAUAUAAAAUAUUUGUUGCCUCUAUUUGGACUUUUGUGGUAGUGUUUAUCCUGACCUACAUGUAUGAGUUGUUUGUGAUUUUUUGCAUUUUUUUAAAAUUCAUGAUUCUUUUAGUUUUUAAUAUAGAUUUAUUUAUUUUAUUUACAAUAUAUUUGCCUUUACUUGAAUUUUUGUGUUAUCAUUGAUUAUGUUAACAAGCUUUAUGAAUUUGAGACUAAAACAAAUGUUAAGAAAUUAGGGUUUUAGUAAAACUGAAGCAUAAGAUAAAAAAAACUAACAAACUAAUUGUUUUUUAAUACUGUUUGUAACAGCGUAAAAAGAUAAAAGCAGAGCCACACCCCUCUCCCCACACAGUGCCUUUUAUUUUCUUUUUCUUUUUCUCUCUUCAUAUUCUUUUCUCUUCCUCUUUUUUAAUUUUCUCUCCCAAUAUUCAUCUAUUUUAGAAUCUAAUCGGACCACGUUGUAGCUGACGAGUUAAGGAACAUUUCUACCCUAUCAGAUUUUCAAACAGAGUAAGUUCAUUUUUGCUCUAAAGUUCCUUUGUUCUUUAUUUUUCCUUAAGAUUUAGUCAUCAAUCUUGGUGGGGUCAGUUGAGAAGUUUAAUCCUCUCAACUUAUUCUACUAUAUACUGAAUUUUUGUUCUGUUUGGAUAACUUGCAUUAGGCCCGUAAAUCUUGAAGUUUAUCGACGGUGGGAAAUAAAAUUCUAAAAGUUGCUUGAGGUAAGGGAAGCUAAAUUUAAUUUUUAAUAGCACCCUAGGAUAGAAGAUAUGAAUGCGAAAAGGACGUGGUCCCAAUAUUCAAUUUUUCUUGCAGGGAUGUUGUGUGUUAUAUAUAUUGGGUUGUUUGUUUAUAUAUUAUUUAAAUUUGUGGAAAUAUUAGGUUUUGAUGAUUUAGUAUUAAAGUGUUAUUUUUUUUAUGUCAAAUAGACUUUUGAAUAUUGUGGAUUACUUUUGAAAUGAUAUUGUAUGACGGAAUGGUAUGGAAUUGAAUUCAUACAUUUGGGAUAAUGUAUGGACUGAUGUUUGUUGUGUAUUAAGUAUUGAUGCCUAUGUGGUAACAGAGAUCUCCGAGCUUCACUGAUGAUCUAAGUCACAUAGAUUAAGACAUCAGGUGGUGAGAAGCUGAUGGGGGAGUUCAUGCACACCGUGACAUAUGAGAUGUACGACUUUGGUUGUAUUGAACUUACCCUGAUCUUUUCUGUUGGAUUCGCUGAUAAUCUUUGGAUCAGGUGUUAGUCUCUGGUAGGACUGACUUAAUACGGAUCUUCCGGAAGACGUUGUUUGUUGAAUAUUCUGGAUGUGUAGAUCCAUGUGAGAUCUAUGUGAUUGUUUUAUGUUGGAAUUUGAAGAAGAUUGAAUAAUUGAGAAAUUGACCAUGUAAUUUGAUUUUCUCUUUUAAUUUAAUUUCAUAUAUUAUAAAAUUUUAUUUUCACUAGCUUACCCUUGCUUUUUGUGUUGUGUUUAAACUGCGAUGACUGUACUAUGUACACGAGCAGAUGACCAUACAGGUGCAGGAAAGUCUUAGAGGUUUCAGAGUUUUAUUUUUAGCUAUGAAUAUGUAAAUAUUUGUAUUUCUAUAAAUCCUAAUAAUGUAUUAGGAAUGUUUUGAAAAACUUCAAAUUUGUAUAGAAAUACGUAGAACUUGUAUUGUAAUAGUUAGAUAUUAUUUUCUGGGGUGUUACACUGUUUAUGUGUUUCUUCCGUUCUUUCAAAUUUGGAUCAUUCUUGAUUUUUUAAUAUAUAUUUAUUUUAUUUUAAAAAUAUCUGAUUAAUGUAUUUAUAUUAUUUUUGUCAUUUUAGGACUUUUGUGUCCAACAUAGGAAUUGAGUUGGAGUCGGUGCCGACAAAAAUGAGAAACAUGCCAGAUAAAUAUUUUAAAUAAACAAAAUGAGUUUAAUAUGACAUCAUUUUGCAGUAAUUAGCUACAAAAUCACUUAUUUUAUCUGUUUAUAAAUAAAAAAAUAAAAAAAUUUCAUGAUAAAAUGCAUGAAUACAUGGAUGAUAAAAUUUGUCAAAUGAUGAUAAUUUAACGGUAAAAUGUGUAAUUUAGUAAAUAUGUUAUUCUUUCUUAUAAUCUUUAUCGUCAACAAAAUGUUAUUAUUUUUAUCUUUUCAAAUACUUUUUCUAUUCUUUUUAGCAUUUUUAAUUUUUUAAUAUUAUUUAUUUAUUUGUCAUCUGUUAAUCAAAUAAAUACUACUAUAGUUAAAAACAAAUAUAGAUAUUGAUUUGAUUAUAAAUUGUUUAAGAAUUAAAAGGUAUUUACCAAACUUGUUGAAGAGAAUCAACUUAAUUAUAAGUACUUAUGUACGAGCUGACAAUAAAAAUAAAUAAAUAAAUAUAUUUACUACAACAUUAUAUUGCCAAUUUGUCUUGUUUUUUUUUAACUUGUACAAUACAUACGUUUAUAACUUGGAGGAUGAAGUAGAUGUAAGAGUUUAGGAUGUUUAUAAAAAUUAAGCAAAAGCAUAAAAAUCUAGAUUUUUAUUGUGAUGUUUAUAUUAACUUUAUCAUGAUAUGUUAAUAAUAUAGUUAUACAUUAUAAUGGUGACUCCAUUAUAAUCACCUCAUAACACCAUUUAAUCUUUUAAGAUAUUUUUAUAACCUUCAGGUUUAGUUCAUCUAUACCAGAAUAUCUAUCAUUCAUUUUCAUUCAAACUUGUAAUAUGUAUAAUAAAAUGUUUGUUUCUUUGGAUAAGAAUUCAAAGUGAAAAAUCAAUAAAUAACUUGAGACAGAAAUUGUGAAUAACGUUGUUUUUUCAUUUGUUAUGCUUUAAACAAUAAAAAGAGUUAUAAUAUAUUUUAGAUAAAUUAAUGUUAAAAAUUUGUAAUUUCUUUUAGAUUUGAUAUGUACUAUCAUUUUAAUAUUACGCUUUGAUUGUUAGGUUAAAUAUGUCAAAAGAAAGUGAGUUUAUUUCUUUCACAAACAAAAUUUGAAGAUGCAGACAAAGGAAAUGUGGCAACAAAAGUAGAACACAUUUAUUUCACAAGUAAACAUUGAUCAAAUCUCUCAUACAAUAUGAUGUGAUAAGAUUCUUGAUUUACAUUGAAAUUAAACAAAAACAAGUGCAUAGAACAUUCUCCACUUAUUUAUUUUGCUACAAUUCUCAUGACUUCUUUUUCCCCAUUAUAUUAAGACCACCUCACAAGCCAUUCAAGCUUUCCUAUAAUACAAAAGUCUGAGGCCAAUUCCAAAUAUCAUUCCACAUCCAUAUCCUAUAACCACUGGUUCCCAUCCAAAUCCAAAUCUCUCUUCUCCCAAUAAGCUCGGAGAAGAUGGAGGGUUUUGUUCAGUGUUGUUGCAAUUCAUUGACAAUGGAAACCCACAUAAUCCCGAGUUUCCUAGGUAGGAGUCAUUUGAAAAAGUCGCAAACUGUUUUCCUUUAGGUAUUUCUCCCACAAGCUGGUUAUUGGAAAGAUUCAAGACUGCUAGAAAGUUCAUAUUGGUUAAUUCUGUUGGAAUCCUACCAGUGAACAUAUUUGAAGAGAGAUCCAAUGAUUCUAAGUUUGUCAAAUAU
rnacentral:lncRNA from 1 species